rnacentral:rRNA from 1 species
UGGGGAAUCUUGCACAAUGGGCGAAAGCCUGAUGCAGAGACGCCGCGUGGGGGAUGAAGCAUCUCGGUGUGUAAACCCCUUUCGAUUCGGACGAAUGCCCGCAAGGGAGUGACGGUACGGAUAUAAGAAGCCCCGGCUAACUACGUGCCAGCAGCCGCGGUAAGACGUAGGGGGCUAGCGUUGUUCGGAAUUACUGGGUGUAAAGGGUUCGUAGGCGGUGCGGCAAGUUGGGAGUGAAAUCUCUGGGCUUAACCCAGAGGCUGCUUCCAAAACUGCUGUGCUCGAGUGUGGGAGAGGCGCGUGGAAUUGCAGGUGUAGCGGUGAAAUGCGUAGAUAUCUGCAGGAACACCCGUGGCGAAAGCGGCGCGCUGGACCACUACUGACGCUGAGGAACGAAAGCUAGGGGAGCAAACAGG